rnacentral:rRNA from 1 species
UACGUAGGGGGCAAGCGUUUGUCCGGAUUUACUGGGCGUAAAGCGCGCGUAGGCGGAACGAUCAGUCCGGUCUGAAAGCCCCCGGCUCAACCGGGGAGGGUGGCUGGAAACUGUCGUUCUUGAGGGCGAGAGAGGAGGGUGGAAUUCCUGGUGUAGCGGUGAAAUGCGUAGAGAUCAGGAGGAACACCCGUGGCGAAGGCGGCCCUCUGGCUCGACCCUGACGCUGAGGCGCGAAGGCCAGGGGAGCAAACGGGG